rnacentral:lncRNA from 1 species
GGGGGGCGUCGGCGGCGGGGCCAGGCCCCCUCCCUCCAGGCACCCGGCCGCCCCUCCGUGCUGGCUUCUCGUUCCCGGGGAGGCCGCCACCUCCUCCCUCUCAUUUUAAGCCCUUAAAUGGGCUUCAGCUUUUCUCUGCGCAUGACUGUGAAGGGAUUAAACUCAGGAUCUCCUGCUUGCCUGGCAGGCCCUGUGCCGCUGAGCUACAUCCCCGGCCCUACCCAGGUUUGGAUCCUUGUGGUGUUGUCUAGUCUAUCACUGGAGGGAAGUGACAUAAUGCCUCUAGUUCUUCAUCUGUCAGCCUGCACAGACUGGGUUUGAGGAGGAGAAUGGAGACUGCUGUGGCCCUUUGUGCUUUAUCUGACCCACUCCCAACUGGAAUUGCACACCAGCUGAGGCACUGGGACCCCAGCACUGGCACUGAGCCAGACAGGGACUUGUGCUCUAUGGGAAAUACUGUUCUGGGUCAGCAUUUUGCUUCUGCCCAGGCUGUGUGGCCAGCCAGGGUCUUCCUGAAUCCGUUUCCUCUGUAGAUGGGUCCACUGCAGUUAUGGGAGCCCCACACAAGAAGUUCUGAGGGUGCCUGGGCUCUGGAGGGGUGUUCUGUGAGGGUGGCUGCAGUGGCACUUUCUCCUGCAGGUCCACGCCGGGCUUGUGCAUCACAAGCAUCGUUAGGAGGUGUUCUCUGCCAACUCUCUGAUGUGGACCUUUCUUAGCCGGGCCUCAGUUUCUCCAUGUCGUCAGCCAUUGCAUCAGUCACAGUGACCUUUUCAAACAUCCUGAGCUCGUGAGUAGUCUGAGGGCAUGGUGUCAGGUCCCAAACCUGUCCUGAGUGAGUUGUCUUUGAGGAGCCCCUGCUUUCCCAGGCAGAAGGGGACAGAAAGUGACGUGGAGGUUGGGUCGAGGCUUGACCUGCUGCCUGGCUGCUCCUCCAGUCACGGAGCAGUUAAAUGUGGAUGACUUCUCUUGGAAGUGGGGAUGAAGCCUGACCCGGAAAAGCCUACCUGCUUGGAGCCCCGAAGGCCUUGCUGGGCUACUUGCUGUACGGUGAGUGCCAGGAGGAGAGGUG